rnacentral:rRNA from 1 species
CGCCUCCUGUACACUCAUAUGAGGUCCAGCCUGCCCACUGAUUUUAUUAAACGGCCGCGGUAUCCUAACCGUGCGAAGGUAGCGUAAUCACUUGUUCUAUAAAUCAGGACUUGUAUGAACGGCAUCACGAAGGUUACACUGUCUCCUUUUUUUAAUCAGUGAAAUUAAUCUCCCUGUGAAAAAGCAGGGAUAAAUCUAUAAGACGAGAAGACCCUAUGGAGCUUUAAACAUAUUAUAUUUGUUAUAUCUCAACACACCUCUUUAUAACAACAUAUUUAUAGUUUUAGGUUGGGGGGACCGCGGCGAAAAACAAAACCCCCGCGUUGAAACCAAACUAAGAACCACAAUUCUAGCAUCAAUAUUUUGACAAAAUUGAUCCAAAUAAUUGAACAACGAACCAAGUUACCCUAGGGAUAACAGCGCAAUCCACUUUAAGAGCUCAUAUCGACAAGUGGGCUUACGACCUCGAUGUUGGAUCAGGGUUUCCCAGUGGUGCAGCCGCUACUAAUGGUUUGUUUGUUCAACAAUUAAUACCCU